rnacentral:rRNA from 1 species
CGCACGGGUGAGUAACGCGUGGAUAAUCUUCCUUUAGGUGGGGAAUAACCAGUCGAAAGAUUGGCUAAUACCGCAUAAGACCACAAUGUCUUUGGACAUAGGGGUUAAAGGUUUUUCGCCUGAAGAUGAGUCUGCGCUCGAUUAGCUAGUUGGUGAGGUAAUGGCUCACCAAGGCGACGAUCGAUAGGUGGUCUGAGAGGACGGCCACCCACACUGGGACUGAGACACGGCCCAG